UUCUAUGGAGCAUUAAGCAAAUUAUUGAGCGAUCUAUUUUUGAUGGGCUUUUGACAGAUUAGAUCAUUGGGUAGAUGUGUAAUUUGGAAAAUUUUACUUAUUCAAUUUUAAAAUUAAGUUUUAGGUGUAAACUAUAUAAAAAUAUUAUGCAAAUGGCUUUUUAAUUGUUUGUUUUUAAAUAAGGAAGAUGGAAAAUACAAGACAAACUCUAUUAGAGGAUGAUCCUAAUGAUGAUAAAAUUUAUGGCCAGGCCAACAGCCCAUCCCACAAGAAAAAUCUUUGCACAUAGAAUAUUCAGAUUAUCUUUAACAAUUUUUUUUUUUUAAGCGACUCAAAAUUUAAAUUUAAAAUUUAUUUUCUCUCUCCUAUUUUAAUAUGAGUAAACUAAUAAAACCAAAUUUGAAAUUUAUUUUUUCUGUCCUGUUUUAAUAACAGUAAACCAAUAAAACCACAGGCCCCACAAGCAUAUAUGGUUCACCACCGGACCUGCCACAUACGGUGGCCGGGAAUUAAAUUACACCGAAAAUGUGCAAUGCUUACACCGAACUCUUUGGAAUUCAGCGAGGAGCUCACUUCUGACGCCGGUUUUCACAUUUGUCGAGCCGGCUUCGCCGGAAGAAGCCUUGUCAGCCACCGCGAGCCACCAUUCACGGUGGUUUCAUCACGCGAGCUCAGCCACAACGAUUAACCGAGGAAAAAUAGUCACCGAGCAUCAAGGAAUCGAUCGAGAGCCUCUGUCGCACGCAAGACCAUCGACAACAGCGUGAACUUCGCCGUAAUCGCAAUUGCCAUAUCAACCAAGCUCCUUGCUUCGAUUUCUCCUCUACAAGGUCACUAUAGCUCGAGUCAAGACCACAAUCAGCUUCUCCCCGAUGAGACGAUGGUUUUAGGGUGUUCCGAGACCGAAAGCUAUGGCUUUUUGGCCGGAAAACGGAAAAGAAAGGGGGAGGGGCGCUGGAAUCGGGCAAUGAUAGAGGGAGGAGAAAAAUUUUGGGUUUCUCUCUCCUAAAUCCUAAAAAGUAUUUAUAUCUUGAUUCGGUCUAAUUCGGGUUUGGUCUCAUUCAAUAGAAAAUUCUAGGUUUCUCAACCUAUUUCUAUUGGUUUGAUAUGUUUUUCUAAGGGUUAUUUGGUUCUAGACUUCUAGGGUCUUCUAUCAUUUAAAUUUUAAGAUUUCACUAGAACAUUUUGCCCUUUAAAUAAUA
rnacentral:lncRNA from 1 species